rnacentral:rRNA from 1 species
AGUGAACGCUGGCGGUAGGCCUAACACAUGCAAGUCGAACGGCAGCACAGUAAGAGCUUGCUCUUACGGGUGGCGAGUGGCGGACGGGUGAGGAAUACAUCGGAAUCUACUUUUUCGUGGGGGAUAACGUAGGGAAACUUACGCUAAUACCGCAUACGACCUACGGGUGAAAGCAGGGGAUCUUCGGACCUUGCGCGAUUGAAUGAGCCGAUGUCGGAUUAGCUAGUUGGCGGGGUAAAGGCCCACCAAGGCGACGAGCCGUAGCUGGGCUGAGAGGGUGGUCAGCCACACUGGAACUGAGACACGGUCCAGACGCCUACGGGAGGCAGCAGUGGGGAAUAUUGGACAAUGGGCGCAAGCCUGAUCCAGCCAUACCGCGUGGGUGAAGAAGGCCUUCGGGUUGUAAAGCCCUUUUGUUGGGAAAGAAAAGCAGCAGGUUAAUACCCCGCUGUUCUGACGGUACCCAAAGAAUAAGCACCGGCUAACUUCGUG